AAAGGGCCGCGGUACUUUGACCGUGCGAAGGUAGCAUAAUCAGUAGUCCUUUAAUUGGGGGCUUGAAUGAAUGGUUGGAUGAGGCACUAACUGUCUUUAUUUUGUAGUAUAAUUUAACUUUUAAGUGAAAAGGCUUAAAUACGUUAGGGGGACGAUAAGACCCUAUAAAACUUUAUAUGAUAUAUUAAGGCUUGAAAAUUAGGUUUAAAUCGAGUUUUAGUGUUUAAUAUUUUGUUGGGGAGACAAAAAUAUAAUUUAACUGUUUAUAAAAUGUAAUACUUAUAAGUAUUUUAUGAUCCUUUUUUAGAGAUUAUAAGAUUAAGUUACUUUAGGGAUAACAGCGUAAUUUCUUUUAAGAGUUCUUAUCGACAAAGGUAGUUGCGACCUCGAUGUUGAAUUAAAAUUUUAGUUGGGUGAAGAGGCUCUUCUGAUAGGUCUGUUCGACCUUUAAGAUUUUACAUGAUUU
rnacentral:rRNA from 1 species